GAUUAACGCUAGCGGCAGGCAUAAUACAUGCAAGUUGAACGAGAUAAGUUUUAGCAAUAGAACUUUGAAAGUGGCGCACGGGUGCGUAACACGUAUGCAACCUGCCCCAAACAGGGGGAUAGCCUCUCGAAAGAGAGAUUAAUACCCCAUAAUAAUGUUGUUAGGCAUCUAAUGAUAUUUAAAGCUGAGGCGGUUUGGGAUGGGCAUGCGGUUGAUUAGGUAGUUGGUGAGGUAACGGCUCACCAAGCCAACGAUCAAUAGGGGGUCUGAGAGGAUGUCCCCCCACACUGGUACUGAGACACGGACCAGACUCCUACGGGAGGCAGCAGUAGGGAAUAUUGGACAAUGGGGGCAACCCUGAUCCAGCCAUGCCGCGUGCAGGAAGACUGCCCUAUGGGUUGUAAACUGCUUUUGUACGGGAAGAAACCUCACUACGUGUAGUGAGUUGACGGUACCGUGAGAAUAAGGAUCGGCUAACUUCGUGCCAGCCGCCGCAGUAA
rnacentral:rRNA from 1 species